rnacentral:rRNA from 1 species
CAGCCGCCACGGGAAUACGUAGGUGGCAAGCGUUGUCCGGAAUUAUUGGGCGUGAAGGGCUCGCAGGCGGUUUCUUAAGUCUGAUGUGAAAGCCCCCGGCUCAACCGGGGAGGGUCAUUGGAAACUGGGAAACUUGAGUGCAGAAGAGGAGAGUGGAGUUCCACGUGUAGCGGUGAAAUGCGUAGAGAUGUGGAGGAACACCAGUGGCGAAGGCGACUCUCUGGUCUGUAACUGACGCUGAGGAGCGAAAGCGUGGGGAGCGAACAGGAUUAGAUACCCCCGUAGUCCCUGUCUCUUAUAC